GGGUAACCUGCCCUAUGCUGGAUAAUAACCUCGGGAAACUGAGAAUAAUGAUCCAUAGUUCACUACGCCUGGAACGGUGAGUGGAUGAAAGCUCCGGCGGCAUAGGAUGGGCCUGCGGCGUAUCAGGUUGUAGGGGGUGUAACGUACCCUCUAGCCCUCUACGCGUACGGGUGUUGGGAGACAUAGCCCGGAGAUGGAUUCUGAGACACGAAUCCAGACCCUACGGGGUGCAGCAGGCGCGAAAACUUGGCAAUGCGAGAAAUCGUGACCAGGGAACUCCAAGUGCAUCGGGUAAGACCGGUGCUUUUCUUGACUCUAAAUAGGUCUUGGAAUAAGGGGUGGGUAAGGACGGUGCCAGCCGCCGCGGUAAUACCGGCGCCUCAAGUGGUAGUCGCUUUUAUUGGGCCUAAAACGUCCGUAGCCGGUCUGAUACAUUCGUGGGUAAAUCAACCAGCUCAACUGGUUGAAUUCUGCGAGGACGGUCAGACUUGGGACCGGGAGAGGUGUGGGGUACGCUCAGGGUAGGGGUAAAAUCCUGUCAUCCUGAGCGGACCACCUGUUGCGAAGGCGCCACACUAGAACGGGUCCGACGGUCAGGGACGAAGCCUAGGGGCACGAACCGGAUUAGAUACCCGGGUAGUCCUAGGUGUAAACGCUGUGGACUUGAUGUUGGGGGUGCUCCGAGCACUCUCAGUGUCGAAGCGAAGGUGAUAAGUCCACUGCCUGGGAAGUACGGUCGCAAGGCUGAAACUU
rnacentral:rRNA from 1 species